rnacentral:rRNA from 1 species
GACGAACGCUGGCGGCGUGCCUAAUACAUGCAAGUAGAACGCUGAAGGAGGAGCUUGCUUCUCUGGAUGAGUUGCGAACGGGUGAGUAACGCGUAGGUAACCUGCCUGGUAGCGGGGGAUAACUAUUGGAAACGAUAGCUAAUACCGCAUAAUAGUAGAUGUUGCAUGACAUUUACUUAAAAGGGGCAACUGCUCCACUACCAGAUGGACCUGCGUUGUAUUAGCUAGUUGGUGGGGUAACGGCUCACCAAGGCGACGAUACAUAGCCGACCUGAGAGGGUGAUCGGCCACACUGGGACUGAGACACGGCCCAGACUCCUACGGGAGGCAGCAGUAGGGAAUCUUCGGCAAUGGACGGAAGUCUGACCGAGCAACGCCGCGUGAGUGAAGAAGGUUUUCGGAUCGUAAAGCUCUGUUGUAAGAGAAGAACGAGUGUGAGAGUGGAAAGUUUACACUGUGACGGUAUCUUACC